UACAGAGGGUGCGAGCGUUGUCCGGAAUCACUGGGCGUAAAGGGCGCGUAGGCGGAUGGCUUUGUCGGGCGUGAAAUCCCAGGGCUCAACCUUGGGGCUGCGUUCGAGACGGGCGAUCUUGAGUUCGGAAGAGGGUCGUGGAAUCCUGGUGUAGCGGUGAAAUGCGCAGAUAUCAGGAGGAACACCAAUGGCGAAGGCAGCUCGCUGGGACGUGACUGACGCUGAGACGCGAAAGCGUGGGGAGCAAACAGG
rnacentral:rRNA from 1 species